UACAGAGGGUGCAAGCGUUGUUCGGAAUUAUUGGGCGUAAAGAGCUCGUAGGCGGCUCAGUAAGUCAGGUGUGAAAACUCCAGGCUCAACCUGGAGACGCCACCUGAUACUGCUGUGGCUAGAGUCCGGUAGGGGAGCAUGGAAUUCCUGGUGUAGCGGUGAAAUGCGCAGAUAUCAGGAGGAACACCAGUGGCGAAGGCGGUGCUCUGGGCCGGAACUGACGCUGAGGAGCGAAAGCGUGGGGAGCAAACAGG
rnacentral:rRNA from 1 species